GACGAACGCUGGCGGCAUGCCUAAUACAUGCAAGUCGAGCGAACAGAUGAAGUGCUUGCACUUUUGAGGUUAGCGGCGAACGGGUGGGUAACACGUAAGGAAUCUACCGAUAAGCGGGGGAUAACAUUCGGAAACGGGUGCUAUUACCGCAUAAUAUCUUCUUCCGCAUGGAGGACGCUGGAAAGACGGCUUUGCUGUCACUUAUCUAUGACCUUGAGGUGCAUUAGUUCGUUGGUGGGGUAACGGCCUACCAAGACGAUGAUGCAUAGCCGACCUGAGAGGGUGAUCGGCCACAUUGGGACUGAGACACGGCCCAAACUCCUACGGGAGGCAGCAGUAGGGAAUCUUCCGCAAUGGGCGAAAGCCUGACGGAGCAAUGCCGCGUGAGUGAAGAAGGCCUUCGGGUCGUAAAACUCUGUUAUAAGAGAAGAACAAAUUGUAGAGUAACUGCUACAGUCUUGACGGUAUCUUAUCAGAAAGCCACGGCUAACUACGUGCCAGCCGCCGCAGUAA
rnacentral:rRNA from 1 species